CAACUUGCACAAAAAUGACAAGCAUUUAGUCCCUAUAUAAACUCAUCGACACAAAUAUACACUUGAUUAUCUCAUACCUUAGACCCCUCAAGCCAUCUGCUCCACUCUUUUCCUCUGUUAACUCGAUCAUCAUCGUAGAACUGUAUUGGAAGCUUCUUAUAACGCAAACCCAUAUCCAAUGGAAGAAGAAAAUAGGCUGCAAAGAUUGACAGGAAUGGCCCGCGAGGAUAUAUUAAACUGGUUCACAUAGACAAGAUGUACGAGAUCUGUGUAUGCUGCAAUAACAUCUCGUGCUGCCGUGCUGCACGGAAGCACGAGAUGUUGUUGCAGCAUACACGGAUCCCGUACACCUUCUCCAUUUAAACCAGUUUAAUGUAUCCUCGUGGGCCAUUCCUGUCAAUCUUUGCAGCCUGGUUUCUUCUUCCUCUAUUGGAUAUGGGUUUGCAUUAUAAGAAGCUUCCAAUACAGUUCUACGAUGAUAAUUCAUUCUAUCGAGUUAAUGGAGAAAAAAAAAUGGAGCAAAUGGCUUGAGGGAUCUAUGGUAUGAGAUAAUCAAGUAUAUGUUUAUGUCUAUGGGUUUAUAGAGGGACUGAAUGCUCUCUUAUCAGGAUAGCAAUCUUGAUAGUAUAAGCUGAAAAAUCCUAAGAAAUUUCAGACGACUAUACCAAGACGAGAUACAAGGGCGUUCCACGAUCUGCCACCAAGUUAUCAAGGAGACGGAGAAGAAAGAUUGUACCAAAUCUCUUUUCCUUAAGCAGCAGCUUAUCGUUAUAUUAUAGAAAAGAAAAGAAAAAAAAUGUAACAGAUAAUCUCCUGGACUAAUAAUUCGAAUUCGUGUCUGUUGAACUCUAUGCACCAAACUAGUGAUGGUGGGGAGUAUGUCCCCUGUCCAAAUCAAAAGACUACGUUCAAGUUCGGGUCGUUGGUGGUUUCUUGACAUACUACAAGAAAAUAACUUAAUAAAGUAACACGGUGGCUAAGAAAUCACAGGGAGAUAAAAUGACGCCAAAGUUUACCCCAGCAACGUAUAUAUACACAGAUUCAUUAUCAGAUGUUUAAAUAUGACUCGAGACAGAAAUGUAAACCAUAACAAAAGACUUUGCUUUUUCUUGACUUUGCAUCCAAUGUUUUCUGAUAAAUACUAGUGUGAAAGAACGAAAUGCCUUACUCCGCUA